rnacentral:lncRNA from 1 species
AAUUUUUAGGCAGGGCAUGUGUUUUCCAAUUCAGCUUCAGGACCCAUUACUUCCAUAGCCAGACUAUUGAUUUACCUGCCUAGCUUUUGUAGAUAUUGUGAUAUGCCACCAACACCUCAGUAUUCCUGAAUUUCCUUGAGAGAGUUCUGCUCUGGUAAUGGUGGUCUCAGGCCAAGAAACCUUUGGGCUGAAAAUCUCUGAAGAGGCUUUGGUCCUUCCUCAGUAUCCAGCCCACCCAGCAGAUGUGGUAAGCACCCAAUAUGUGCUCAGCCCUAAGCUGGGGAGUGUUGAGGAUACAAAGACAUUUGAGCCGCAUUGGCUUUCUGCUUUCAAGAUACUUAAAAAUGUAGUUUCAAAGACAAGACUAAUUCAUACAAAGCAAGAGCCAACAAUCACUACAAAUAGACUUAUAUACUCAUUCGUAAGGCUCUGGCCACAAACAUUCCAUUUCAGAGAAGAGAAAUCAUAGUGAGGAUCAUGGUCAUCAGAGAGGGCUCCUGGGUAGUCGAAGUUAAGUUUAACAGUGCAGGUUGUGGGUAAAAGGACUCUUCCUGGUGGGAGAAAAACUUACCAGCUCAUGCUGAAUCUAGGGAAUGGGCCAUGGAGUUCAUUUGGCAAUAACAAAUGCAGUGUAUCUCUAGCAGAAUAUAGAAGGGUGGACUGGAGAGCAAUUGUGAGAAAGAUUGGAGGAUCAGGAUAGAGGCCUCUUGAUGGAGGGAGGGCCUUUGUAUCUAUUUUAUUUCAAUCCCUAA